AAGUCGUAACAAGGUAUCUGUAGGUGAACCUGCAGAUGGAUCAUUUAAGAGUUAGGGCACUCGCAAGAGGCCUGCCACUCAUUACAAACACUUGUGCACUUGAAACCAGGAGGAAGCUUUGAUUUAGAGGACUUCAUUGUCCUUUAUCUUAUCGCCCCUUCAUUAAUAAAAACACUUGUAUUAUAAAGUUGAUGAUGUCAAUGUAAUUUGAAAAAACGAAAGUAAAACUUUCAGCAACGGAUCUCUUGGCUCUCC
rnacentral:misc_RNA from 1 species